rnacentral:rRNA from 1 species
GACGAACGCUGGCGGCGUGCCUAAUACAUGCAAGUAGAACGCUGAAGGAGGAGCUUGCUUCUCUGGAUGAGUUGCGAACGGGUGAGUAACGCGUAGGUAACCUGCCUGGUAGCGGGGGAUAACUAUUGGAAACGAUAGCUAAUACCGCAUAAUAGCAGUUGUUGCAUGAUAACUGUUUGAAAGGUGCAAUUGCACCACUACCAGAUGGACCUGCGUUGUAUUAGCUAGUUGGUGGGGUAACGGCUCACCAAGGCGACGAUACAUAGCCGACCUGAGAGGGUGAUCGGCCACACUGGGACUGAGACACGGCCCAGACUCCUACGGGAGGCAGCAGUAGGGAAUCUUCGGCAAUGGACGGAAGUCUGACCGAGCAACGCCGCGUGAGUGAAGAAGGGUUUCGGAUCGUAGAGCUCUGUUGUAAGAGAAGAACGAGUGUGAGAGUGGAAAGUUCACACUGUGACGGUAUCUUACCAGAAAGAGACGGCUAACUACGUG